ACCAGACAGGCCGCCCACGUCCAUCUUCUUCAGGUUCUUGGCCUCAAGGAUACAAACGGUCAGUUUGCCCGCAGUAGGAACGUAACGCAGGGAGAUGCAGAUGUCACCAAGCUUCUCAGGCUGUAUGGAAAAGAUAUCAAUCGCUUUCCAGGUCUCUCCACUCUUCAAUGGGCUGACCCAGAUCCAGAGUGUUCAUGGGUAGUUUUACCUCGCCGAUGAUGUCGUGUUUGGAGAAGCGGUCAUAGUCGUACACACACAUGACCAGUGUCUUCCCACCCAGCUCCUGGAUGAACACUUUAACGUAAGGAUCGGACGUUCCGCCAGAGUCCAUGGAAAUCAAGUCGGCACAUUGCAAGAUUCCGACGGUCAGCUGUGGAUAAAAACAUAGUGGAAAAAUAGAAUCAAGAGGUUUAAUAAAUGAAAAUAAUUUCUUGUAGGAAAAAUUCCAAAUGAGAUUUCUUUAAUAUAUCAAUGAGAUUAAAUGAAGAGCAAAUAGAGCUUCUCAGAUUUUUACAAUACAAUUUUCCUUUGGAUGUGCUCGCUCGGAAAGGGCUGUGAAAUGUCUGUCAGGCUUUAUGCAUAAAUUUAAACUGAAUUAUAAACUGAAAGUCUUAUUCAUAAAUACACUACUGUUCAAAAGUUUGUUUAAAAAAAAAAAGAAAUGUAUACUUCUAUUCAGUAAGAAUGCAUUAAAUUGAUCAAAAG